rnacentral:rRNA from 1 species
UACGAAGGGGGCGAGCGUUGUUCGGAAUUACUGGGCGUAAAGGGCGCGCAGGCGGCCCUUGAAGUCAGGCGUGAAAGCCCCGGGCUCAACCUGGGAGGUGCGCUUGAUACUCGAGGGCUUGAGUGCGGGAGAGGAGAGUGGAAUUCCCAGUGUAGAGGUGAAAUGCGCAGAUAUCAGGAAGAACACCCGUGGCGAAGGCGGCUAUCUGGACCGUAACUGACGCUGAGACACGAAAGCGUGGGUAGCAAACAGG